rnacentral:rRNA from 2 species
GGAUUAGGCAUGCAAGUCGCACGAGAAAGGCUUCUUCGGAAGCCGAGUAAAGUGGCGAACGGGUGAGUAAUGCAUAGACAACUCGCCCUUGAGAUGGGGACAACGCCUCGAAAGGGGUGCUAAUACCCAAUGCCGCCUUGGGCCUGCGGGUCCAGGGUGAAAGGAGGCCUCUGAUUCAAGCUUCCGCUCAAGGAGAGGUUUAUGUCCUAUUAGCUAGUUGGCGGGGUAACGGCCCACCAAGGCUGCGAUGGGUAGCCGACCUGAGAGGGUGACCGGCCACAUUGGGACUGAGACACUGCCCAGACUCCUACGGGAGGCUGCAGUCGAGAAUCUUCCGCAAUGCGCGCAAGCGUGACGGAGCGACGCCGCGUGGGUGAUGAAGGCCUUCGGGUUGUAAAACCCUGUCAGCUACUACGAAACACGGGCGAUGAACAAUCGUCCCGUCUGACUUAAGUAGCAGAGGAAGCACCGGCUAACUACGUGCCAGCAGCCGCGGUAAUACGUAGGGUGCGAACGUUGUUCGGAAUCACUGGGCAUAAAGGGCGCGUAGGCGGUCUGAUAAGUCAGGUGUGAAAUCCCUCGGCCUAACCGAGGAACUGCAUUUGAUACUGUCGGGCUAGAGUACAGGAGGGGGAGAGUGGAAUUCCUGGUGGGAGCGGUGAAAUGCGUAGAUAUCAGGAGGAACGCCGGCGGCGAAAGCGACUCUCUGGCCUGUUACUGACGCUGAUGCGCGAAAGCUACGGGAGCAAACGGGAUUUAGAUACUCUCGGUAGACCUAGUCCUAAACGAUGUGCACUAAGUAGAGGGGUUUU